rnacentral:lncRNA from 1 species
UUCCGCUGAUCAGAAGCGGACAAGCAAACAGCGGAUGUGUAGUUCCUCUCCUCGCCGAACCCGGUUUUCCAUUUCUGCAGAGCAGCGCGACCGAUUCCCGGUUUCCCCGCCGCAACCACCGUUACCCCCCCAUCCCGGGCGACUCCAGCGACGUCACCGGUUCAGGUCCUGACCUUUCGGCGAACCGCGGAACCGCAGACGACCUGUUCGACGUCAUCACUCCCCGCCCGGAUGUCGCUGACAUCACCCAGCACGUGCCUGCGCUGGCACCGCGUCGUCCUGGCAAGCGCCUCCCCGCCGCGGAAGGAGAUCCUGGGGUUCGCCGUGCCCGGGCGAGACGUGUCGGCGGGGUUUCACGUGAGUGACACUUGGUCCCCACGGGACUGACAGUGACUAGCGUUGUGGCAUGGUGACCUCAGUGACUCUGUCCCUGACUCUGCCCCUUGUGAUGACCCCACCACUGACCCGCAGGCCUUGGAGGGGCUGAUCCUGGAGAAGCCAAAGGACCAGGAGGACACCAUGGGGGUGCUGCUCAGGCUGAGUGGGAAACAGAGCAGUACAGCUUCAUCAUGAGGGUAGCCAUUGUCAUCUGGGGCAUCCACGGGGGCCCUGCUCAGGAAGUGGGCACCUUCCAUGAGGAAACGUGUAUGACUUUCUCUCCACGGUAGGAGGAGCUGAUCCAUGACUACUUGGACACCAGCUAAGGAUGGUGAGGCCCCGUCCCCUGCCCCACGUGACAUUGCCCACGCCCCGUCUGAGAGUCUACCAAGUGGUUCUGGGAUGAUGGAUUGAGGGGAUGGGGGCUGCAUACAUUUGCAUGAGUUUGUAUAUUUUGGGCUCAUUUGAAUAAAUUUGUAUAAAUUAACACCAAGCCAGAGGCGUUCCCUGGGACAAAUUUGUAUAGAUUUGCGUGAAGUCCUGAGCAAAUUAACAUAAACCGAAAUGAUGUCAUAGUUGUGCUCUGCAUGUGUUUUUUGUGGGUUUUGCAUAAAUUUGCAUACAUCAGCUUUGGAGUAGGUUUGCAUGAGCCGAGAUGACGGUUGGUGGCUUCCUGUGUGUGAAUUUGCAUAAAUUUGCAUAAACUGAAUGCAACGACAUAGUGAUGGUCUGGGCAGAUUUGCUUUCUGUCUGUAUAAAUUUGCAUAAAUCUUCAUGGGCAAGGGGGAAGCUUCCGUGGCUGUCAGCUGUACCAGCUAAGUGACGUCAUGUGACCUCAUUUGCGUGACCAGAGUCGCUUUGCAUAAAUUAACAUAAACUAGUGAUUCCCCCUUGAGUGCUGUGACCUCGAAGUGACCCCUGACCUCCCACUGACCCCAUGUGACCCCACAACCCCAACGUGAUCCCUGACCUCCCCAUUACCCCGCAACCCUGAAGUCACCAUGUGACCCCACCAUGACCCUGACCCCACAAGGACAAGGCCGGGGCCUAUGCCAUCCAUGCGUGGGGAGCAAUGCUGGUGGAAGGCGGAUUUUGCAACAUCCUCAAUGCUGCGGGCAUCUCACUGAACCACUUCAGCUGCGAGCUUGCAAGGGUGCUGCCAGGGACAGGAAGUGACAUCGCUGUGGAGGGGACGGCAGGAAGUGAGGUCAGAGUGGGGGUGAUGGGAAGUAAUGUCAUGGGCUCAGGAAGUGAUGUGCUGCUGCUCUACAUGUGUAUGUGUAUACCUGGUCUGUGAUGCUGCAGAGUAUGUGUACAUUUGUGCCGGGUGUGGGAUGUACAUGUAUGCCUCAUGUUUGCCUGGUGUGUGAUGCCACUUUACAUGUGAUCCAGGUGUGAGAUGAUGCUGCACAUGUAUACAUGUGUACCUGGUGUGUGAUGCCAGUGCAUUGUGACUGGUGUAUGAUGUUGAUGCACAUUUAUGCUUGGUGUGUGAAGCUACUUCACAUGUACACAUGUGUGCCAGGUGAGUGAUGCUGUUUCCCAUGUGUAUAUGUAUGCCUGUUGUGGGAUGCUGCUGGACAUGUCUGCCUUGUUUUUAAACUACAUUACAUUUGUGACCAGUGUUUGAUGCGACUCUACAUGAGUACAAGUGUGCCUUGUGUAUGAUGCUGCUGCAUAUGUGUACAUGUAUGUCUCGUGUGUGCUGCUACAGCACAUGUAUACAUGUGUGCCUGAGUGUGCUGCUGCUGUACAUGUGAACAUGUGUGCCUUGUAUGUGAGGCUGUUGCAUAUGUGUAUGUGUUUGCCUGGUAUGUGAAGCUGCUGUACAUGUCUGCGCUGUGUGUGAUGACAGUGUACAUGUGUCCAUGUGUACCUGGUGUGUGUUGCUGCUGCACAUGUGCACAUGUGUGCCUGUUGUGUCAUGCUGCUGUGCAUGUAUAUAUGUGUGCCUGGUAUGUGAUGCUGCUGCACAUGUGUUCAUGUUUGCUUGGUCUGUGAUACCUCUGUACAUGUGUGCUUGGUGUGUGAUUUUGCUGCAUAUGUGUACAUGUGUGCCUUUUGUUUGAUGCUGCUAUACAGUGGGCCUGGUGUGUGAUGCCACUUUACAGGUGUGCCAGGUGUGUGAUGUGACUGUAUAUGUGUCCAUGCAUGCCUGGUGUGUGAUUCUGAUGCACAUGUGUACAUUUGUGCCUGGUGUGUGCUGCUUCUGCAAAUGUGUACUUGUGAGCCUGGUGUUUGACUCUGCUGUACAUGUGUGCCUGUUGUGUCUUGCCACUUUAAAUGUGUGCCCGGUGUGUGAUGUCAAUAUAUAUGUGUACAAGUUUGCCUGGUGUGUGCUGCUGAUGCACAUGUACAUGUGUGCCUGGUAUGUGUUUCUGCUGCAUAUGUGUACAUGUGUGCUGUGUGUGUGUUGACAGUGUACAUCUGUCCAUGUGUACCUGGUGUGUGUUGCUGCUGCACAUGUGUACAAGUGUGCCUGAUCUGUGAUGCCUGUGUACAUGUGUGCCUGUUGUAUGAUGCCAUUUUAUAUGUGUGCUGCAUGUGUGUGCCUGUUGUGUGAGGCUGCUGCACAUGUGUACAAGUGUGUCUUAGUGUCCAUGUGUACCUGGUGUGUGAGGGUGCUGGACAUGUGUACAAGUGUGACUUAUGUGUGAGGCUGCUACACAUGUGUACAUGUGUGUUUGUUGUGUGAUGCCUCUCUACAUGUGUACAUGUGAGCCUGUUGUUGCUACACAUGUGUACAUGUUUGCCUGGUAUUUGAUGCUGCUGUUCAUGUGUGCCUGUCCUUUGUUGCCACUUUAUAUGUGUGCUCAGUGUGUGUUGACAUUAUACUUGUGUACAUGUGUGCCUGGUGUGUGCUGCUGCAGCACAUGUGUACAUGUGUGCCUGGUAGGUGAUGCUGCUGCACAUGUGUGCCAUGUGUGUGACAACAGUGUACAUAUUUUCAUGUGUACUUGGUGUGUCAUGCUGCUACACAUGUGUACUAGUGUGACUGUUGUGUGUUGUUGCUGCACAUGUAUUUUAACUGUCUUUUUACAAGGAAAACAAGACAGUUCCGCCCAAUAGACGUGAAUUUCUAAAUACGUUUAAAAGGUCUUUUUUGAAUGUUAUUUCCUUUAGUGGGCUACACUGUAAGUCAUUACUUUGACGUAUUUUCAUAUGCAUGUUUUAAAUAUAACUGUACAAUGCAAUAAAGUACAAAAAAAAUGUUUUAACACAGACCCUGCAAUAGAGUUAAUCGUGCAUGCGUGAGUGUUAAUUUUAGUGUUCACAUGUACUUAUUUAUUAGACAUAGUGUCUUUUUCAAUAGAAUACAAGACAGUUUUGCUCAAUAGAUGAGAAUUUCUAAAUGUGA